rnacentral:rRNA from 1 species
GAUGAACGCUGGCGGCGUGCCUAAUACAUGCAAGUCGAGCGAACAGACGAGGAGCUUGCUCCUCUGACGUUAGCGGCGGACGGGUGAGUAACACGUGGAUAACCUACCUAUAAGACUGGGAUAACUUCGGGAAACCGGAGCUAAUACCGGAUAAUAUAUUGCACCGCAUGGUUCAAUAGUGAAAGACGGUUUUGCGGUCACUUAUAGAUGGAUCCACGCCGCAGUAGCUAGUUGGUAAGGUAACGGCUUACCAAGGGGACGAUGCGUAGCCGACGUGAGAGGGUGAUCGGCCACACUGGAACUGAGACACGGUCCAGGCUCCUACGGGAGGCAGCAGUAGGGAAUCUUCCGCAAUGGGCGAGAGCCUGACGGAGCAACGCCGCGUGAGUGAUGAAGGUCUUCGGAUCGUAAAACUCUGUUAUUAGGGAAGAACAAAUGUGUAAGUAACUAUGCACGUCUUGACGGUACCUAAUCAGAAAGCCACGGCUAACUACGUG